UGUGCCAAUGAUGUCUCGAAAAUCAAGUUUGAGUUUUGAAAGACUAUGGAAAUACUCCAUGCACUACCAUCUGAGGCGCA